UACGUAGGGUGCAGGCGUUAAUCGGAAUUACUGGGCGUAAAAGCGUGCGCAGGCGGUCUUUUUAAGUCAGAUGUGAAAAUCCCCCGGGCUUAACCUGGGAACUGCGUUUGAAACUGGAAGGCUAGAGUGUGGCAGAGGGGGGUGGAAUUCCACGUGUAGCAGUGAAAUGCGUAGAUAUGUGGAGGAACACCGAUGGCGAAGGCAGCCCCCUGGGCUAACACUGACGCCUCAUGCACGAAAGCGUGGGGAGCAAACAGG
rnacentral:rRNA from 1 species